CUGGACACUAUAAAUGAUAAAUGAGCAUAUGUACCUUUGAUCAAGAAAACAACAAAACCCAGAAUACAGUAGGUUAAAAUUGGCACACAACCACCGAGCGCUUGGCAAGAAUUAGGCAAGUUGGGUAUAUUUUUAGCAUUGCAUGAUUGAAGUGGUUGGUGUUGUAUGUGUAUGGUAUAGAAAAGUUCACUGAGCACAGUAUUGCUAUACAUGCAUAAGAAAUAAAACAGGAGUUAAACAUAAAGUUAAUAUUUGGACUUAUCUUUAUUUACAGCUCUUUGAGGAGACAACACAAGGAAUACUAGAUUAUAAUACAAUGCUCCCUGAUUCAUAGAGACAAAAGUGUGACGUUAUAAUUGGAUUAACAAAAUAUAUUUUGGAUUACAUCGCAAAGCUAAAAGAAAGCAUCAUCUAACAAGAUGGCGACAUCACCAACGAAUGGUGUUCGCAACAUGAGCCUGCAUGAUGAGAAUAAGAUUAAUGGAGAUGUCAGCACAGAUGAAGGUGUGAUGGUCUCACCACCAGUCAUGAAUGGUGAUUAUGCCUCAACAAAUCCCUUCUCAAAUAAUUCCACAAAUCCAUUUACAAAUGGUCUAUCAGAGAUACCGAAUAAACAACAACCUGCAACAGCAAAUGAUUUACUGAACUUUGACCUGAAUGCUCCUCCAUUGAGUUCAGAACCUUUCCAGUCACCCCCAGGCACGGCCGAUAGUGCAUACUUGAGUGGACAAUUUACUAUGUCUGGGUUAAUGUCAGAACCGACAAGCCUUGAGCCACCCAGCCAGGAGGCGGCUAAUCCUGAGUCAGCUAGCUUUGAGCUUAAUCAUGAUACUGGGCAACCCGCUACAGAUGCCACCACCCUGAUUGACCUCGAGGCACUCUCUGAUAAUGCUCAACCACAAGCCCCCAUUGAUAACAGACAAGACAUAAACACAAACCCUCCCCAGUCUCAAUUCAGUGACUUUGAUCCAUUUUCUAUGCCCAGUGCCCCUGAAACCAUUGAAGACCAAGUUGUUCCACAAGGUAAUAUUGAAAAUCCAGAUGUAUCCACAUUUGAACCAUUUGCAGCCCCUAAUGACUUAUUUGAACCAUAUGUUGCUCCAGUGGACCCAGAUCACGAUAAAGAGAAUACAAUGCCAUCUUUACCAGAUUUACUUGGGGGGUCUGUUGUUGUUGAAUCUACUAGCACAUCUGUAGAAAACACAACAGUUGAAACAAAUAACACAAGAGAAGCAAAUACAGUUUCAGCCAUUGAAAGAAAUGCUAAUUCAACCUUUGAAACUAUAACCACCAUUGAAACUCAUUCAGAUCAAAUUGAAUCCAUGGUUAGUAUCUCUCCCGAGUCAGAUGUGGAACUGCCACCACCCCCUAAACUAGAGGAUGUCCAGAUAAAUCAAACUCCCCCAAAUUUAAACGAAACCGAAACGAAACCAAUCAAACAACCUACCCCUGACAAAAUUAUUGAAUCAAAAUCAAAAAGUCCUGAAAAAAUAAAAGCUCCAUCGAGUCCCAGUAAAACAAGUGCUCCUUCGAGUCCC
rnacentral:misc_RNA from 1 species